rnacentral:rRNA from 1 species
CAAGGCGACGAUCCCUAGCUGGUCUGAGAGGAUGACCAGCCACACUGGAACUGAGACACGGUCCAGACUCCUACGGGAGGCAGCAGUGGGGAAUAUUGCACAAUGGGCGCAAGCCUGAUGCAGCCAUGCCGCGUGUAUGAAGAAGGCCUUCGGGUUGUAAAGUACUUUCAGCGGGGAGGAAGGUGUUGUGGUUAAUAACCGCAGCAAUUGACGUUAC